GUGUCAGCAGCCGCGGUAAUACAGAGGUCCCAAGCGUUGUUCGGAUUCACUGGGCGUAAAGGGUGCGUAGGUGGCCAGGUAAGUCUGCUGUGAAAUCCCGCAGCUCAACUGCGGAACUGCAUUGGAAACUAUCUGGCUAGAGGAAUGGAGGGGAGACUGGAAUUCUCGGUGUAGCAGUGAAAUGCGUAGAUAUCGAGAGGAACACCAGUGGCGAAGGCGAGUCUCUGGACAUUUCCUGACGCUGAGGCACGAAAGCCAGGGGAGCAAACGGGAUUAGAUACCCCGGUAGUCC
rnacentral:rRNA from 1 species